GAGGGUGUAGCUCAUUGGUAGGGUGCAUGCUUAGCGUGUGUGAGGUCCUGGGUUCAAGCCCCAGUACCUCCA
rnacentral:tRNA from 1 species